rnacentral:ncRNA from 1 species
GUUCAAAUAAGGAAGGGCUUACGGUGGAUACCUAGGCACCCAGAGAUGAGGAAGGGCGUGGUAAGCGACGAAAUUCUUCGGGGAGUUGAAAAUGAGCAUAGAUCCGGAGAUUCCCGAAUAGGUUAACCUUUUUAACUGUUGCUGAAUCCAUGGGCAGGCAAGAGACAACCUGGCGAACUAAAACAUCUUAGUAGCCAGAGGAAUAGAAAGAAAAAGUGAUUCCCGUAGUAGCGGUGAGCGAAAUGGGAGCAGCCUAAACCGUGAAAACGGGGUUGUGGGAGAGUACAAUAUAAGCUUUGUGUUGCUAGGCGAAGCGGUUGAGUGUUGCACCCUAGAUGGUGAGAGUCCAGUAGCCAAAAGCAUCAUUGGGUUACGCUCUAACCUGAGUAGCAUGGGGCACGUGGAAUCCCAUGUGAAUCAGCAAGGACCACCU